AUUGAACGCUGGCGGAAUGCUUUACACAUGCAAGUCGAACGGCAGCACGGGGGCAACCCUGGUGGUGAGUGGCGAACGGGUGAGUAAUACAUCGGAACGUGCCCGGUCGUGGGGGAUAACGUAGCGAAAGUUACGCUAAUACCGCAUACGAUCUGAGGAUGAAAGCGGGGGACCUUCGGGCCUCGCGCGAUCGGAGCGGCCGAUGUCAGAUUAGGUAGUUGGUGGGGUAAAGGCCUACCAAGCCGACGAUCUGUAGCUGGUCUGAGAGGACGACCAGCCACACUGGGACUGGGACACGGCCCAGACUCCUACGGGAGGCAGCAGUGGGGAAUUUUGGACAAUGGGCGCAAGCCUGAUCCAGCCAUUCCGCGUGCAGGACGAAGGCCUUCGGGUUGUAAACUGCUUUUGUAUGGAACGAAAAGGCUCUGGCUAAUACCUGGGGCUCAUGACGGUACCGUAAGAAUAAGCACCGGCUAACUACGUG
rnacentral:rRNA from 1 species